rnacentral:snRNA from 1 species
AUCGCUUCUCGGCCUUUUGGCUAAGAUCAAAGUGUAGUAUCUGUUCUUAUCAGCUUAAUAUCUGAUACGUCCUCCAUUGGGGGACAUCGAUAUUAAACUGAUUUUUGAAAAGGGGGUGAGGUGCCCCGGGGCUUGCUCCGCCCUCACCACGGGUUGACCCGGUAUUGCAGUACUUCCGGGAAUGGCCCACCACUA